rfam:Medicago truncatula strain A17 chromosome 1, whole genome shotgun sequence.
AAACAACCACCUAUGUAUUGGAUCUUUGGCAGUUUUUUGCCCCCAAUACCACUUUUGAUUUAGUCUUCGCUGACGUGACACCCACAAUGGCCGACACGUGGCACCUCACUUAAGGGAUGUGGGUGUCACGUCAGCGAAGACUGAGUCAAAAGUGAUAUUGGCGGCCAAAACUGCAAAAGAUCCAAUAUAUAGGGGCUAUUU